GGCGGUGUAGCUCAGUUGGCAGAGCAUGCGACUCAUAUUCGCAGUGUCCGGGGUUCAAAUCCCUGCACCGCCACCA
rnacentral:tRNA from 1 species